rnacentral:lncRNA from 1 species
AAAUUUCUAAUUAUCCCAGAAGCAGAGCCCAAACCAGAGCCUGGUGCACAAACUCUUCCCUCUGCUGAGCUCUUUGGAUGUGACUUUUAUGUAAGGCUAAACCAUCAUUAAUGCACCGUAUUUUUCCUAGGUUCUUAGGCUUAAAGUACAUGGCAGCUGAGAAGAAAAUCAGAACAUUCAGAGUAUCUGUUACUACUAUAAGAAAAUGAAAAAUUAGAUGCAAUUCCAUUGUGCGUCGCUUAGUUGAGUCAGCUGCACAUUGCUGUACCGUCAUGUGGAACAGAAACAUUUGAUUUUCUUCCUUUUUGAGUAGCAGCAGCAAAAAUAGGCAGAAAUGUGAGAUGUCAUCUCUUCCUGUUCAAGCACAGCAACUUUUGAAGCAGAACACACAGAAUGAAGAAGCUGUGAUUUUUUUUCACCAUCCACUGUGUUCCUGAGAGCAGGCAUGCAGCAGCUAGAUCCAGAAAAUGCACAGCUAAUCAUAUCUUCCUGCUACAAACCCUGUAGGAUCUGGGUUUGUGGGCUUAUUCUGGCCAAAGACCACCAACAGACAAGACUGUAAAGUCCCUUUCUUUGGAAAACAACAGUAAGUUAAACUAAAAAAUUUCCACCUUAAUUUCUGGUUUUAUUUGUUUUGUUCCAGUUAGAAUAAAAUAAUAUAAAUU